rnacentral:rRNA from 1 species
AUGGAGAGACAAGUGUAGGAAAUGUUGGAUAGUGGCAUUAUCAGACAUAGUAACAGUCCAUUCUCCUCCCCUAUGAUAAUGGUACAAAACAAGGACACCACCUGGAGACCAGUGGUUGACUAUAUACACUUGAAUAAUAUUACUGUUAAGAGCAAAUACCCUAUACCCGUUAUAGAUGAGCUUUUGGAUGAGCUGGCUGGAUCUCAUUGGUUCUCUAAACUGGACCUUAGGGCUGGGUUUCACCAAAUUAGGAUGGCACCAGGGGAAGAAUAUAAGACUGCAUUCCGGACACAUUUGGGCGAUUAUGAGUUCCUGAUCAUGUCAUUUGGUCUCACUGGAGGCCCAAAUACUUUU